GGGCCCGCACAAGCGGUGGAGUAUGUGGUUUAAUUCGAUGCAACGCGAAGAACCUUACCAGGGUUUGACAUCCUGCGAAUCUCUUGGAAACUUGAGAGUGCCUUCGGGAGCGCAGUGACAGGUGGUGCAUGGCUGUCGUCAGCUCGUGCCGUGAGAUGUUGGGUUAAGUCCCGCAACGAGCGCAACCCACGUCUUUAGUUGCCAGCAUUUAGUUGGGCACUCUAGAGAGACCGCCGGUGAUAAACCGGAGGAAGGUGUGGAUGACGUCAAGUCAUCAUGCCCCUUACAUCCUGGGCUACACACGUACUACAAUGCUACGGACAAAGGGCAGCAAGUUCGCGAGGACAAG
rnacentral:rRNA from 1 species